rnacentral:rRNA from 1 species
CCGGCGAUGUCCGAAUGGGGAAACCCAGUGCAAUUCGUUGCACUAUCGUUAACUGAAUACAUAGGUUAACGAGGCGAACCGGGGGAACUGAAACAUCUAAGUACCCCGAGGAAAAGAAAUCAACCGAGAUUCCCCCAGUAGCGGCGAGCGAACGGGGAGCAGCCCAGAGUCUGAAUCAGCUUGUGUGUUAGUGGAACGGUCUGGAAAGUCCGACGGUACAGGGUGAUAGUCCCGUACACCAAAAUGCACAGGUUGUGAACUCGAAGAGUAGGGCGGGACACGUGGUAUCCUGUCUGAAUAUGGGGGGACCAUCCUCCAAGGCUAAAUACUCCUGACUGACCGAUAGUGAACCAGUACCGUGAGGGAAAGGCGAAAAGAACCCCGGCGAGGGGAGUGAAAAAGAACCUGAAACCGUGUACGUACAAGCAGUGGGAGCACCUUCGGGUGUGACUGCGUACCUUUUGUAUAAUGGGUCAGCGACUUAUAUUCUGUAGCAAGGUUAACCGUAUAGGGGAGCCGCAGGGAAACCGAGUCUUAACUGGGCGUUAAGUUGCAGGGUAUAGACCCGAAACCCGGUGAUCUAGCCAUGGGCAGGUUGAAGGUUGGGUAACACUAACUGGAGGACCGAACCGACUAAUGUUGAAAAAUUAGCGGAUGACUUGUGGCUGGGGGUGAAAGGCCAAUCAAACCGGGAGAUAGCUGGUUCUCCCCGAAAGCUAUUUAGGUAGCGCCUCGUGAACUCAUCUUCGGGGGUAGAGCACUGUUUCGGCUAGGGGGUCAUCCCGACUUACCAACCCGAUGCAAACUACGAAUACCGAAGAAUGUUAUCACGGGAGACACACGGCGGGUGCUAACGUCCGUCGUGAAGAGGGAAACAACCCAGACCGCCAGCUAAGGUCCCAAAGUCAUGGUUAAGUGGGAAACGAUGUGGGAAGGCACAGACAGCCAGGAUGUUGGCUUAGAAGCAGCCAUCAUUUAAAGAAAGCGUAAUAGCUCACUGGUCGAGUCGGCCUGCGCGGAAGAUGUAACGGGGCUAAACCAUGCACCGAAGCUGCGGCAGCGACACUAUGUGUUGUUGGGUAGGGGAGCGUUCUGUAAGCCUGCGAAGGUGACCUGUGAGGGUUGCUGGAGGUAUCAGAAGUGCGAAUGCUGACAUAAGUAACGAUAAAGCGGGUGAAAAGCCCGCUCGCCGGAAGACCAAGGGUUCCUGUCCAACGUUAAUCGGGGCAGGGUGAGUCGACCCCUAAGGCGAGGCCGAAAGGCGUAGUCGAUGGGAAACAGGUUAAUAUUCCUGUACUUGGUGUUACUGCGAAGGGGGGACGGAGAAGGCUAUGUUAGCCGGGCGACGGUUGUCCCGGUUUAAGCAUGUAGGCUG